rnacentral:rRNA from 1 species
AACGAACGCUGGCGGCAGGCUUAACACAUGCAAGUCGAACGCGUGCAGCAAUGCACGAGUGGCGCACGGGUGAGUAACGAGUGGAUAUCUGCCUUUUGGUUCGGAAUAACCCCGGGAAACUGGGGCUAAUACCGGAUGGUUCCUACGGGAUAAAGAUUUAUCGCCAAAAGAUGAGUCCGCGUCCGAUUAGCUAGUUGGUGAGGUAAUGGCUCGCCAAGGCGACGAUCGGUAGCUGGUCUGAGAGGACGAUCAGCCACACUGGGACUGAGACACGGCCCAGACUCCUACGGGAGGCAGCAGUGGGGAAUAUUGGACAAUGGGGGCAACCCUGAUCCAGCCAUGCCGCGUGAAUGAUGAAGGCCUUCGGGUUGUAAAGCUCUUUUGGCGGGGACGAUGAUGACGGUACCCGCAGAAUAAGCCCCGGCUAACUUCGUG